rnacentral:rRNA from 1 species
CUACGGGCGGCUCCAGUGGGGAAUAUUGCGCAAUGGGCGAAAGCCUGACGCAGCAACGCCGCGUGAGUGAUGAAGGCCCUCGGGUCGUAAAACUCUGUCAGAGGGGACGAAACCUUGCCGGGAACAAUACCCCGGUGAUUUGACGGUACCCUCAAAGGAAGCACCGGCUAACUCCGUGCCAGCAGCCGCGGUAAGACGGAGGGUGCAAGCGUUGUUCGGAAUUAUUGGGCGUAAAGCGCGUGUAGGCGGUACGAGAAGUCGGGUGUGAAAGCCCCAGGCUCAACCUGGGAAUUGCGCCCGAAACCAUCGAACUAGAGUACAGGAGGGGAGCGUGGAAUUCCCAGUGUAGCAGUGAAAUGCGUAGAUAUUGGGAGGAACACCGGUGGCGAAAGCGACGCUCUGGCCUGAAACUGACGCUAAGACGCGAAAGCGUGGGGAGCAAACAGGAUUAGAUACCCGGGUAGUC